AUGAACGCUGGCGGCGUGCCUCAUCCAUGCAAGUCGCGCGAACAGACGAGGAGCUUGCUCCUCUGACGUUAGCGGCGGACGGGUGAGUAACACGUGGAUAACCUACCUAUAAGACUGGGAUAACUUCGGGAAACCGGAGCUAAUACCGGAUAAUAUAUUGAACCGCAUGGUUCAAUAGUGAAAGACGGUUUUGCUGUCACUUAUAGAUGGAUCCGCGCCGCAUUAGCUAGUUGGUAAGGUAACGGCUUACCAAGGCAACGAUGCGUAGCCGACCUGAGGGGGGGAUCGGCCCCGCGGAAGCUGAGACACGGUCCAGACUCCUACGGGAGGCAGCGGUAGGGAAUCUUCCGGAAUGGGCGAAAGCCUGACGGAGCAACGCCGCGGGAGUGAUGAAGGUCUUCGGAUCGUAAAACUCUGUUAUUAGGGAAGAACAAAUGUGUAAGUAACUAUGCACGUCUUGACGGUACCUAAUCAGAAAGCCACGGCUAACUACGU
rnacentral:rRNA from 1 species